ACUUGCAAUGUGAGCGCUUCCUCUUCCUCCUACCUUAUUUCUAACGAAGGCUUGGUUUCCGUUUCAGAACUAAGCCAAAUCAACUUUCAGCUUUAAGGUUUUAUAAGAAGGCAACUGUGCAUUUUAUCUCAGCACACACUGGAUAAUCUACUGCAUGUCUGAGCUGUGACGCUGAAAAGGACAGACAAUGAGCAGACCCUUCUCUUUGGAGGCAGAUGACAGCACAGAUGAGGAGAGGGCAAAGGCCAAAGCGGCGAGGAAGGCAUAUGGGAAGGGCUGUCCAGAGAGGGCCAGGGGGCCAAUGGACACUGACUUCCUAGAGGACCAUGGGGAGAUCACCUGCCAAGUCAGAUUUAAUUUGAACUUCGAUAAAAAAAUACGAGGGAUAGAAAAUGACCCUUCCCAAAAGGAGAAAGACAGGUUUGACAUUAAGAGGCUGUUUGAGGCUGUGUCCAGCGGUGAUGUAUCUAAGCUAGAGGGCCUGCACGAGUACCUGCGCAAGACGAACAAAAAACUCACAGACACCACAUAUCGACCCAAUGGUAAGACAGCUCUGCUGAAGGCUCUGUUAAACCUGAAAAAUGGAGAGAAUGAAACAGUGGAGCACUUGCUGGACAUUGCUGAGAAAAUGGGCCAUUUGGAGGAGCUAGUGAAUGCAGCAUAUACAGACUGCUAUUACAGAGGGCAGACAGCUCUACAUGUAGCCAUUGAGAGGAGGAGUAAGCGCUUUGCUGAGUUACUCGUUCAGAAAGGGGCUAAUGUCCAUGCAAAGGCCUGCGGGAGCUUCUUUCAGCCUCGUGAUGGAACAUGUUUUUACUUUGGGGAGCUUCCUCUGUCUUUGGCUGCCUGUACCAAUCAGAAGGAGAUAGUGGACAUGCUGAUGAACAACAAAGCAGAUGUGAGGGAGAGCGAUUCUCAGGGCAACACUGUGCUUCAUGCUCUUGUGAUGGUGGCCGAUAACAGCCCUGAGAACACAGACUUUGUCACCUCCAUGUAUGACUACAUCCUUAUCACAGACGCUCACAUGAAUCCAAACCAGAAGAAGCUGGAGGACUUUGAAAACAAUCAGCGGCUUACUCCCAUCAAGCUCGCUGCAAAGACAGGAAAGAUUGGGCUGUUUGAACACAUCCUGCAUCGUGAGUUCCAGCAGGAACAGUGCAGGCACCUGUCCCGAAAGUUCACAGAAUGGGCGUACGGACCUGUUUAUGCCUCCCUCUACGACUUGGACUCCAUCGACACUUAUGACAACAACUCUGUCCUUGAGAUAGUCGUGUAUGGCACAGAGAUGCCUAAUCGUCUUGAGAUGCUCCAGAUUGAACCUCUCAAUAACCUGCUGGAAGACAAAUGGAACAGAUUUGCCUGUCGGAUAUUCUUAUUUAAUUUUAUCUGUUACCUCAUAUACCUCAGCAUCUUCACAACUCUUUGUCAUUACCAUACACACGAUAAGCACAUUUUUCCAUUGGAGGCUACCAAAGACUACCUGUGCUUGGCAGGUGGGGUCAUCGUACUUGUUGCAUCGAUAUAUUUCUUCAUUAAAGGGCUGAUGGACAUGAAGAGAAAACCUCCCAGACUGCAAACACUGCUGAUAGAUGGUUAUUCUGACCUGCUUUUUUUCUUUCAGGCAGUGUUCUUCCUGCUCUGUGUUGGACUGUAUGUAUGUAAGAAGAAGGAAUAUCUGGCUUUUCUGGUUGUCUGUCUGGCCCUGAGCUGGAUCAAUCUUCUCUACUUCUCCAGAGGAUCCCAGCACAUGGGCAUCUACAGCGUUAUGAUCCAGAGGAUGAUACUUGGUGACGUCCUGCGCUUCCUCUUAGUCUACUUUGUCUUUCUCUUUGGGUUUUCAGCAGCUGUGGUGACGCUGCUUUAUGAAGACAAAUCACUGGACCAAAGCAACAAGACCGUCUCGGGCCACGGGCGCUCACUUUUUGAAGACAUCCCGUCGGAAGACUGUAAAAAGCCCACCUACAAAAACAUCUCUUUCACCACUCUGGAGCUGUUUAAGUUCACCAUUGGCAUGGGAGAUCUGGAGUUCACCGAGCAGUAUGAGUACAAGCACGUCUUUUAUGUGCUGCUUAUUUCGUAUAUAGUGCUCACAUACAUCCUGCUUCUGAACAUGUUGAUCGCCAUGAUGAGCAAGAGGGUGGAGAAGAUGUCCGAGGAGACCACCAACAUCUGGAAACUACAGCGUGCCAUCACCACCUUAGAUCUGGAGAGAAGUCUUGGUCGGUGCCUGAAGACAAAACUGCGCUCAGGAGUGGAUAAAGUCCUGGGCAAGAAAGAGAAGGAUGUGCGGCGGUGCCUCAGAGUGGAAGAAGUCAACUGGAACAAAUGGAACCGCAACCUGGGCAUCAUCAGCGAGGAUCCUGGAGAUUUCAUAAGAUUUCCACCAACUCCCAGACCUCAGAGAGGACAAAGCUGGAGUGGGUUCUUGCGGGACUUCAGCCGACGAAGGCCCAACACCCUCGCCUCUUUGGAAGAGCAGGAGAUGAGACCUUUGGCGUCCAGCCCAGUCUGAUGGAACAACUGAUGGAACUGAUGUGUCACUCCAGACCCCACCGCAGGAGGGCAGGCCAGGGAGUUUCAGGGAUGGUUCCUAGCCCCCACCUCUCCAUACAGAGUCUGUAGGAAAAUGAACCACGUGCAAUAAAUGCAGGAGAACACAUAACAUGACUUGAACACGAUACAAUAUAUUUAGCUGUUGAGGCUUCUGUGUAAUGUUGAAUGUGUUCAGUGCUUUUCCCUAAUGCUGAAAACGAAUAACUUCUACUGAAUUUAAACGAAUAAAGGGUGGUGUCUGUCUUUUGUGCAGGACUUAGUACAUAAGUGUUAGAUUGGAUCAUUUUCUUAUAUAGCUCUCAUCUGUAGUUAAUCUUAUAAAUAAAUGUCUAUCUUCUCUUUUCUCCUAAAAGGGGACUUACAUCAAUGAUCAUUAAUACAGUACUGAGAUCCGCUUUAUUUCUCCCGAGACGUAGUAAACUUGAUCUUAAGGAAGCCUUUUUUUCCUUCAGAUGUAUUAGAUGUGUGGGGGACCUAAACGUGCAAAGAGGGUAACAUCAAAGAACUUGUAGAGAGGAGAAUUACCACACUGCAAUGUCCUCCGUGUCGCUCAAACGCUAGGCGGCGCUCCUGAGUGAGUCCAAGAUGAAUGGGUUAAGAUGGAGCAUUUAUUUGAGCAAAAUCCAAGUUUAUAACGGCUCAAACAUUUUUACUGUAAAUGAAUACAUUCGUUUCCUGACCACAGAACAGCGUAAAACAUUUUAACACCAGUGCUAUAUUUUUAAGAGCUUUUAAACUCGAGCUAUAGGUGUUUACAACGACGCCUUAUGCACGUUCAUGACGUCAGAGAGCGCGAACAGCCAAUGAGCUGCUCCGCUCGCCAACCAAUCAGCACUCAGUAGCAGUAACGUUAGCGUCCCACUGCUCCUGUUUGCUGUAGAAGAAAGUAAACAUACAGGAGAGUUUUCUCUGCUUUUUUAGUAAAAUACAUCCUUCUGCUUUCUAAAAUUAGAGGAAGGUGUUGGACAAGUGAUUAUAAACUAUUUUAACUUUUCAUUUUUAGCUCUUUAGCGCCAUUGAAGACUCGCUCUCUGGCGCCCUCUGGCGUUUCCCUGGUUUAUUGAAAAACUCCUAGAGAAUCGUGUUGUUUAACUUGAAUGAGAAUGUAGAGACUAAACAUACAAUGAGCAGUGACAUUAUGCUUGUAUGGCGUUUAUGUUUUGUAUCAUGCACUUUGUACAGUUGUGAUUCUUGUGGUUAUUAAACAUUAUGCAGAAUGCU